rnacentral:rRNA from 1 species
GUCGAGAAUCUUUCACAAUGGGGGCAACCCUGAUGGAGCGACGCCGCGUGGAGGAUAAGGUCUUCGGAUUGUAAACUCCUGUCAUGCGUGAACAAGGUUGCUUGGUUAAUACCUGGGCAAAUUGAUGGUAACGCAAGAGGAAGAGACGGCUAACUCUGUGCCAGCAGCCUCGGUAAUACAGAGGUCUCAAGCGUUGUUCGGAAUCACUGGGCGUAAAGGGUGCGUAGGUGGCGUGGUAAGUCAGAUGUGAAAGCCCGGGGCUCAACCUCGGAACUGCAUCCGAUACUGCCAUGCUAGAGUACUGGAGAGGUGACUAGAAUUCUCGGUGUAGCAGUGAAAUGCGUAGAUAUCGAGAGGAAUACCAAAGGCGUAGGCAGGUCACUGGACAGUUACUGACACUGAGGCACGAAGGCCAGGGGAGCGAACGGGAUUAGAAACCCUGGUAGUCC